UGGUAGAUGGGCUAGAAGAGCAUGACAUAUACUGUUGUGUCGAUAUUUUCUCCUCGGACCUUGAAAAUUUAUGGUGGGGACACGCAAACUUCUCAACAGGCCGUACCAAUAUCCGCAGCUGGUCUCCAAGGUGAAGAGUCUCUAGUCGAUAGAAUAAUGUAGGUAAGGGAAGUCGGCAAAUUAGAUCCGUAACUUCGGGAUAAGGAUUGGCUCUGAAGAUUGAGAUAGUCGGGCUUGAUUGGGAAACAAUAACAUGGUUUAUGUGCUCGUUCUGGGUAAAUAGAGUUUCUAGCAUUUAUGUUAGUUACUUGUUCCCCGGAUAGUUUAGUUACGUAGCCAAUUGUGGAACUUUCUUGCUAAAAUUUUUAAGAAUACUAUUUGGGUUAAACCAAUUAGUUCUUAUCAAUUAUAACGAUUAUCAAUUAACAAUCAAUUCAGAACUGGCACGGACUUGGGGAAUCCGACUGUCUAAUUAAAACAAAGCAUUGUGAUGGCCCUAGCGGGUGUUGACACAAUGUGAUUUCUGCCCAGUGCUCUGAAUGUCAAAGUGAAGAAAUUCAAGUAAGCGCGGGUCAACGGCGGGAGUAACUAUGACUCUCUUAAGGUACAGAAUACGUACGAGGGUGGCGGUACCAGUCUCAAUGGGGACGGUUGGAGUUCAGAGGAAUUCGUCCCUGCUAGAGGAGUGAAGCAGGGUGACCCUUUGUCUCCUAUUCUAUUUAACUUGGUAAUGGACAGGUUACUUAGAAACCUACCCAGCGAAAUUGGUGCCAGAGUCGGAAAUGCCAUUACUAACGCGGCCGCGUUUGCAGAUGAUUUGGUACUAUUUGCUGAAACUCGAAUGGGACUUCAAGUAUUGUUGGACAGAACGUUG
rnacentral:ncRNA from 1 species